rnacentral:rRNA from 1 species
UACGUAGGUGGCAAGCGUUAUCCGGAUUUACUGGGUGUAAAGGGCGUGUAGGCGGGGACGCAAGUCAGAUGUGAAAACCACGGGCUCAACCUGUGGCCUGCAUUUGAAACUGUGUUUCUUGAGUACUGGAGAGGCAGACGGAAUUCCUAGUGUAGCGGUGAAAUGCGUAGAUAUUAGGAGGAACACCAGUGGCGAAGGCGGUCUGCCGGACAGCAACUGACGCUGAGGCGCGAAAGCGUGGGGAGCAAACAGG